rnacentral:lncRNA from 1 species
UUGCUACCAUAGUCUAUGCUUAUAAAGACUGCAAUAAGAGGAAAAAGAGGUUGAUUAGGAUAUUAAAUAUAAUUAGAGUACCUUUUUGAUCUACGUGGUCAUGAUUCAACUAAAGUAAGAGACUUGUGGUUUCUCUUUAGAGAGGCUCUCUCGAAUUUCUUUAUACAAGUGUUGUUACCAUCGAUUUCAGGGCGGGUGGUGGUGGAGAGAAACCUAAAUAGCAAGACGAUUUUGACUUUUGAAUUUGAUUUUAUGGUGCAUAUGGAUCAUUGGUUGAUCAAUUUAACUUUCCAAAGAAAAAAAGGGAAUUGAACCGAUAUAUGGGGAAGAGAUGCAGCCGGAAUCUCAGGAUUCAACAUAGACACCAGUGUGUGCUCUCUCCACCCCUGUCUCUCCCGAUCGGAAAUCAAACAAAAAAAAAUCAACAAAAAAAUGCAAGUUUUCUUCUUACAGAAACAAUACCUGUCAAUUUUUUCUCUUUGGAGUUCAACCUAUGAUAUAGAUUUGAUCGAUAUGGAGAAAGUAUGAAGGAGAAGAAACGAAAGGAUGAUGUUUUCUAGAGAUAAAAGCAGAAAGUAACCUGGAAUAUGACCUUUUGGGCAAUAAAUUAGCAUUUCUUUGCACAGGAAGUCUAGAGCUAAACAAAACCCGAAUCUUUACCGGUAAGAAUCCGACUAUGCGCGAGUAUGGAUGAGGGCGG